CCUAAUACUUUAUUUAUAGUUGUAAUUUAUAGGUACAUAAAUAUAUAGAUUGUGUCUUUUAAAGCUCACAUUGACAAUAAAAAAAAACAAAGAAAUAGAAAACCGAAGAAUGGAAGAUUUUUAAAAUUUAAACUUUCGUCCAAGGUUUGUUAUUAACUAUUUCUGAAAUUUAGUCAAUGAACAAUCUAUGCAAAAUACUCAAAUUGUAAAAAGUAGGAGAGAAAACAGGAUCUUGAUAUAUCACAAUCUACAAAUCAUACACUCAAUACUCUCUAAAUGACCAUAUGUUUUAGGUAUUGGAUCUUUAUUAGUUUAUGGGAUAAUUUUAUUUCUUUUACUUUUAAGUUCUAAUAUUCUUGGGGAUAAGCUCAGGGUUAAUUAUAUAAGUUUUAGAUUUUGUUGGGAAUUUUGUAGGCUUGAAAUCAGCCAUCAGUUAUUUCGUUAUAGAUUAUUUUCUUUUAUGAUUUAUUUAUUUGGCUUUAUUUGUUUACUUGAAUGAUUGAUUUAAUUUGUGAUUUAUUGUAAUAAUGAUUGAAUUAGUAUCUUAGUUAAUUAAGUCAUAGGAACUCGGCAAGUUCAAUGCCCGCCUGUUUAACAAAAACAUGUCCUUUU
rnacentral:sRNA from 1 species